ensembl:lincRNA Gm2464 predicted gene 2464
CAAAGAACUAAAAGUUUUGUUAUCAUAUGACCGAUUAAAAGUAGUAUCCAUGCACAUCAUUUUAAAUGAGCAUUUCUAUAUAUGUCAAACAAAGAACAUGGUAUAUUGUAAAUGAGUUUGAUAAGUAUCUUGUUUGCUGUCUAAUCCAUAUGAAUAUCCGUAUUUGAGCUAUGAGCUCACAGUACAAAAUAAGAAAAUUCAUAUUUUUGUUUAGAGUUAUAAUAUAAGCUUCAAUUUUAGAACUAUGCACUUCAAGCAAUAGACUGGUGUUUAGAGAAAGUAAAACGAUCUUCUCACUCAAAAAUGCAAUGAGACUUCUUAAUGAGAAGUUGUCUGGCUAUAAAAGAAUGAAUGAGUGAACAAUCUCAUAUGUAUGCAACUUGCAAGAAUCUUAGAGUUAUAUAGGUGUGGCACAGGCAAAAUGCUUAUUGCAUUGCAAGACUUCCCUCAGAGUCUUUCCUCCUUAUUUCACUGCAAAGCAUAAAACACAAACAUCAAACUUUUCAUGUCACAAGCUGCACACAUAGAAAUUCAAUAAAACAUUCAGUUGGAAGCCUAUAGGAUAAGUUAUUCAUUCUUUUGCUAUAGGUCCUUGUUUUCCAAAGUUUAGUUUUAAAAUUUUUUUAGAUAACCUAGAAGAAAACUUAAUAAGGCAAAAACAAUAUAAUUCAUUUAUUUUACCAUAACCCAAACAGUGCACGUGAGAAAUUUAGCAGUGAACUAACUCGUUUAAGGUUGGAAAAGAAAAUGAAAGUUUCGGAAUCCAUCUACUCAAAUAGUUGUAGUCCCUCUCCAGAGGUUAAUAUUUAGUCUAAGCCUUUCCUAUACUUAUUUAGGAACUAAAUUCUCCCACAGAUUCUGUUACUGUGAAAAGUAGAGAAAAGAUUUUUUUUUUAAUUGCCAGCCAGUGCAUCUUUGAAAAGUACUGCUGGGUUUAUGGAGACAUGCAACAGGGCACUCAAACACUAUAGAUGACAUUUCAACCCUCAGUACUUCAGCACUACAUCAGUGGCCACCUUCAGUGGCCCUUUGCCCUACUCAGUCGUCGGCCUGGGGUAGGGGGCACCUAUACAAUCAGUAUCUGGUGGUUAAAAAUGAAACAGUCUAUUUUUAAAGAAAGGAUAAUGUACCUUGUAGGCGUCGUCCCAUUAAACCUAGUAUGCACAGGUACAAGUGACCAUUCCCUCUCCUCGGAAGACACCAGCAAGGGUUUAAAAGCAAAGCGACGCCGCCAGGAAAGCAUGAGGGAGACAACACGGAAGACGUGAAGCUGCCGGAGCUAGCGGAGGCGGCUGGGAAGAACCCACUGCGCUGCUCCCGCGGGUCGCAGAGGCGAGAGAGCAGCGCUCAGUGACUGCUGCCAUCCUAGACACCUCGAGCUCUGGCUGCCUGACCAGCCGGCUGUGCUCUGGUUCCCCUGCAGCCACCCAAACCUAGGCGCCACCAGGGGACGGGGUGUUCGCAUCUUCAAAACCAUCGCGGCCCAGAGAGCACUUUUGUUCUGGCUUCCGGCGCGGCUUUCCCCAUUGCGGGCUCGGACACAGCCCAGAACCGGCGCGCACACGCGCACACACCCUCGCACACGCACACACGCGCGCACACAGACUUCUUGGCCAGCGUUGCCAUCACACACCCGGGGAACGCCACCGAGGGGGCCAAGUACCUGCUCUCUGCGAGCUGUUGUGCUGUUCACUUCAUCCUCCGUUGACAAGGAAACCAAACCGCACUUCAUUUUUUUUUUCCAGAAAAACCUUCCACUGCCAUCAUUUGAAAAUUGAUUUACGGGGAGGGGAGAAGGAGGAAGAAGGGAUAAUAUAGAUAUCAGGAUAUCUAUCAUAAAAUUAUCUCGGGUUUUUUAAAUAAAAAAGUCAAAUAUGCAAAAGUAAUAGUUAAUGUAAAGGAGGAAAAAAGCAACUGCUUAAAAAUAAUCCCUUUAACUAGCUGCAAGAAAAGUUUCAUGUUAUCAACUGAUAUCAAAAACAGGAGGGGAAAAAACGAAAUAUUUCUCACAGGCUUCCAAAAAGGUCAUAAAAAUGCAAAAUUAAUGUCUUUGCUCAGUGGUGCGAAUCGAAUUGCAAGACGACAAACUUGUGAACACUGCUGGAAAAUCCCACCUACACAAAAAUGCAUUCGGAAAAAGAGUACGUAAAAAAGAGUUAGAAACAUGCUUUCUUAUCUUUACAAAGGGAAAAAAAUAGGCACCAUACUUCACAACGCUUUUUCCAUAAAACCAGUUGCACAUUUUGCUGGACUUGGGAGCCGCUCGCAGAGAGCACCGCUGCCGCGGACUCCCAGACACAGCGCCUUGUCUAGAGAACCAUCGCAUGCUAGGAAAACUUGAUUGAGGAAAAGGCUUAAGACUAUGCUCGUCAGCUUUCCCAAAUACAAACAAUAAUCAAAGAAGUGGGAAGAAAAAAAAAAAAAGAAGAAGAAGAAGAAAAAAACAAAAACAAAAACAAAAAAAAAGGAAAAAAAAAAAAGAAUAGGACAAGAAUGCCACUGAGAAGGUACUCACCGAGCGGGAGUAAAAUGUUGGAAUAAAAAUGAGAUUUA